UACAGAGGUGGCAAGCGUUGUUCGGAUUUAUUGGGCGUAAAGGGUCCGUAGGCGGUUUGGAAAGUCGGAUGUGAAAUCCCACAGCUCAACUGUGGAACUGCAUUCGAAACUCCCAGACUGGAGUGUGAGAGGGGUCAAGGGAAUUCCCGGUGUAAGGGUGAAAUCUGCAGAGAUCGGGAAGAACACCAGUCGCGAAGGCGCUUGACUGGCUCACAACUGACGCUGAGGGACGAAAGCUAGGGGAGCAAACGGG
rnacentral:rRNA from 1 species